UGAGGAAUAUUGGUCAAUGGGCGUGAGCCUGAACCAGCCAAGUCGCGUGAGGGAAGACGGUCCUAUGGAUUGUAAACCUCUUUUGCCGGGGAGCAAAAUCAUCCACGUGUGGAUGUUCGAGAGUACCCGGAGAAAAAGCAUCGGCUAACUCCGUGCCAGCAGCCGCGGUAAUACGGAGGAUGCGAGCGUUAUCCGGAUUUAUUGGGUUUAAAGGGUGCGCAGGCGGACUCUUAAGUCAGCGGUAAAAUCGUCAGGCUCAACCUGGCCGAGCCGUUGAAACUGGGAGCCUUGAGUGGGCGAGAAGUACGCGGAAUGCGUGGUGUAGCGGUGAAAUGCAUAGAUAUCACGCAGAACUCCGAUUGCGAAGGCAGCGUACCGGCGCCCGACUGACGCUCAUGCACGAAAGCGUGGGUAUCGAACAGG
rnacentral:rRNA from 1 species